rnacentral:tRNA from 1 species
ACAGUAGUGGUUCAGUGGUAGAAUUCUCGCCUUCCAUGUGGGAGAGCUGGGUUCAGUUCCUGGCCAAUGUA